ACUUAUUUAUCGGAAUUUUUGCAUUUUUGAACGCAUUAUUGUUACAAACGUUGCUAUACUCCAAAUUUACCAAAUACCUAUCAUUUAAACCUAAUCUUUGUCAACAUAUUCAUAUUAUUCAUCCUUUAUUUGAUAAUAACUUUUUAAUUUUUGUAUUUUUUGGUAACUUUUAAUUUAAAUUACGUCAAAAUAUGGAGUUUACUUUUAUUGAGUAAGCAGAUAUGCAUCUUAUGAAUGGUCUAGCGUCUUGCAAGGCAUUGGAAGCAAAAAGAUUGUAGGAAGAAAGAUUUCCCAAUCGCAUUAUUCCGGAUCAGAAAACAUUUCAACGUGUUGAUCAACGUCUAAGGGAAACUAGUUGUUUUGAAAAAAAAGAAUAAUGGUGGUCGGAGGAGAACAGCACGUACAGUGCAAUUGGAAGAAAAUAUAUUAGGCGCUGUAGCUGACACUCCUACAACGAGUACUUGAAAAUUAGCCGCUCAGCUUCAUUCGUCCAAAAUAAUUGUACAUAUCCCAAGUAACAUUUUCUCAAGCAGUUGGUUUUUAAAGUUGCCUUUUAGCCACACCAAGGUUCUGAAUAGUCAUUGGCUUGCUUGAUGGAACUAUUUAGGUUAAAUUUUGUGCUAAUAGGAACUAGGAGUCUUAGUAACUGGAACCACCAAAACCAAACGCAAACUGAAUUGCAAUAAAGAAGACUCAAGAAAUCCCGCGUAGCAAUGAAUAAUGCCAAUAGAUCCUACUAAAUGCCUAAAAGCCAUUUAUUGAAAUUCGCUCAGACUUUGCCAGCUAAUUGGUUAUUAACAGUGGCCUAUAAGUCCUGGAAGAUGCUAGUUAGCCUUGUUCUAGCUUUUUUUAAAACCCACUGGCAUUUUUUAAAGUUUUUUGUCCUACGACAUAGCUUUUGAUACUUACUUAAGUUAUUAUAGCAGCUUAAAAGCAUACCCUGCUAGGCGUCCAUUUUGAAGAAAAAAUGUAAUUCUUCCAUUUUUAUAAGCUAUUCAAAUACAGGCAAAAAUAAUGUAAUAUGUAAACAAUUUAGAUAAUAUAUAAAGACACUGGAGCAUUAAAGUACAUAUUAUCACUAAAGCAUCUCAGAAAUAAAAAUAUAAUAAUUUUUUAUUUUUUUAUUGGCACUGAAUAAUGUUUAAUUUGUAAGAUAUCAAAGGCGCGCGUGUUUUACAGUUAAAUUACACCCAACUUUUUCAAGAAACUGGUGUGCGCAAUGAAAAUCGGUCAUCUAUUCCAGUAUAAUUUUUUUUUUUAAAUAAAGUCAUACUUAUUAAAAAUGUCGCCAUUGCUUUUUAUUUUGGCGUUGUCUUAUGUUUACCCUGGCUGUAUCAUAUUUAAAACUAAAAGGUCAGAUUUUUAUACUUUGGUAUCUCUGAAAUACCAUAUUUAAAACUAUAUGGCAAAAUGUUAAUACUUCAAUAUGUAUCUGAAAUGCCAAAAGCCGGCGAAUAGGUCAAACUAUAUAACCACCUAAAAGUCUAAAAGGACUUUGCUAAAGGGUUGUAAACAGGUAGGCGUAAAAGCUUUCAGGUUCUACACAGAUUACUUUUAGGCA
rnacentral:lncRNA from 1 species